GCCUGGAUAGCUCAGUGGUAGAGCUCCUGCUAGAGUUACAGGGGUCCCGGGUUCGAUUUCCGGUCCAGCCA
rnacentral:tRNA from 1 species